CAAUACUUAGAACUACUUGCUAUCCCCAGAGCACCUUUUUAACACAUUGAAACAUAAGAAUAAUACCUUCACGCUGCUUGUUGAUGUAACUGCUAUAACCAUGCCUGAUUCAUUCCCAAAUGCUGAGAAAUGAUGGUCUUUGCACUAAGGCUCUCAUGUUAUUAAAUCCUGACUGAUGUGAAAGAAGGAAGUGGAGAGGAUGCACCCUUGAUCAGAUGCAGACUGCAUUCAAAGGGCAACGAAGUACAAAAAUAAAAUUAGGGUCUUCAUUAGACAUUGCUCUGUUUCUUCCUGGAAAAAUGUCUGUCCCUCAGCCCCUGCCCUAGAAAACAUGAAUACUGCAUUGCCCAAUUAUCUAGAAAAAUGUUCUCUAAUAAUAAGGCAAGUACCAAAAAAAAGAGUGUAUGAAGCCUGUAGGGCAUGAAUGAAUGAUAGACUUGGUUUUAUGACUUCCUUCAAUAGGGAAAGAGAAACGACUUGACUUUUCUGAGAGCAGGAAUUUACAGAGAAGUUUGGUCAAACAUGUAUUGUGAAAUUUGCUUGCAACAAGCUGAGAAGAAUUUUCAGCAAGUGUGGCUUGAUGAAAAGAAUUGGGAGCCAAAGUCUCUUUAUAAAUCAGCUACUCAUUUGGACACCCAUGCUCUGGAUCAUGCAGAAGAGUCACAAGGUGUCCUUUGGGUCCCAUUUCUAUCCCCCACUGUCCCCUAGCCUCCAUCAGUGAUGUCCUGGGGCCAGUACUUCUCACUCCAGCACAAGUAAGUGAAUUGUUUUUCUCUGUUUUUUAGGGCCAAUUGGCAGAGGAGAACAGUGUCAUCUGGCAGAAGUCUUUCUGUGCCCCUCUGGAACUGCAGUUAUGCUCCCAAGAAGUGCCAGGCCUCGCCGGUCAAAACAUGAUGGAUUUGGAAAAGUCUGCCAACGUCACCUUUGAACCAAAAGUGUUUGAAGUGCCUCCGGAGCCAAGCCUAAGAUAUUCUGAAUAUAGAGUAUUCUACGAUGCGUACAGCAUUUGCUUGAGGAUUAUCUGCUAAAGAACCAAGCACAGAACAGCAUGAACCACAGGGGAUUGUUGCCAUCAGGCCAGCUGUGAGGGUUCAAGAAAUUACCCUCCACCUCAUUUAAGGUCAGGGCCAACCUGCUGCCCUCAGGACGUACAUAUCUUGUGGAGAAAAUGAGAUGAAGGUAAUUGAUCCAUAAUUCUCAUGGAUCUUCAUGGACUUGGUGAUGUUGGUGGGUCCCUUUCAGCUGAAACUCUUCUGCCCUUGAAGCCAUGGGAGAACCAUGGGUAGUGUGACCAAAAGUUACGUGAAAAUCUGGCUAGAGAUUCAGAUGCUCUUUUGAAUAUGCAGGCAUUUCCUACACCAGGACUGUCUUUUUGUUAUCCUGCCUCUCAUUGUUCCGCGAACACAUCAUAAAUACAAGGAAUCCAAUGAGCUUAUGAGCAUCUGGGGUGUGUGUGAGAAGUUUCAUAUACCUUGUACAAAGGAAAAGGAAACCAGCAGUGUUUUGCCCUUCGGUGGCAAUGAAAGAAACCUAAUUUUGUCUCAUGUGCAGGGAAGAGACUCCAGUUGUAUGGUGGUACACCGUGUGCCUAUGUGCACUGAUAGCUCACUGUCUGGUAAAGAAAACCCAGAUGUAGCUUGUGGUUUGUGGUUUGUUGCCCCUGAGAUGCACUCACCUGCUGUCCCAGGACACUGGACGUUGGUGCCAUGAUGCCAGAGGGGACCCAGGUAAGCAGGAGGAUGCGAUCCAUUCUCAAGUGAAGUCACCCACAUUGCAGAGGCAGCCUUUGCCAUCAGCCCAGAGCGUGCUUCCCACUGCCCGCACACCAGUGGCUACACCUGCAGUUGCUCAGCUUAUCUGGGAAGAAACCAGAAAAGGUACAGGCUCCUUCCCAACAGGGUGAGGGUAUUGGGAGGAGUUAUUUAGAGGUGUGUUUGAUGGAAAGAUGUUUGUUUUCUUCCUUGGCAUGUCAUGGAUUUUUAAUUACUAUCGGGUGUAGCACACCUGAAUUUCUGAAGUCAUCAUAAAAAAUCAUAACAAGUCUUUUACACUCAGGAAAAACGAUUGCACAUUUCAUUCUGGAUUAGGUCUCCCAUUCUCAUCCCAAGGAAAAGCAGUUUGUUAUGUUCCCCCCCCCC
ensembl:lncRNA